AACGAACGCUGGCGGCAGGCUUAACACAUGCAAGUCGAACGGUUGUAGCAAUACAGCAGUGGCAGACGGGUGAGUAACACGUGGGAACCUUCCUAGAGGUACGGAACAACUCAGGGAAACUUGAGCUAAUACCGUAUACGCUCGUGAGAGGAAAGAUUUAUCGCCUUUUAGACGGGCCCGCGUCGGAUUAGGUAGUUGGUGGGGUAACGGCCUACCAAGCCUACGAUCCGUAGCUGAUCUGAGAGGAUGAUCAGCCACACUGGGACUGAGACACGGCCCAGACUCCUACGGGAGGCAGCAGUGGGGAAUCUUGGACAAUGGGCGCAAGCCUGAUCCAGCCAUGCCGCGUGAGUGAAGAAGGCCUUAGGGUUGUAAAGCUCUUUUACCAGGGACGAUAAUGACGGUACCUGGAGAAUAAGCCCCGGCAAACUUCGUG
rnacentral:rRNA from 1 species